rnacentral:rRNA from 1 species
AUGAAGCUGGAUUCGCUAGUAAUCGCGCAUCAGCCACGGCGCGGUGAAUACGUUCCCGGGCCUUGUACACACCGCCCGUCAAGCCAUGGAAGCCGGGAGUGCCUGAAGUGCGUGAGCGCAAGCAGCGCCCUAAGGUAAAAGCCGGUGACUGGGGCUAAGUCGUAACAAGGUAUC